GAUGAACGCUGGCGGCGUGCUUAACACAUGCAAGUCGAACGGUGAAGGCGGAGCUUGCUCUGCUGGAUCAGUGGCGAACGGGUGAGUAGCACGUGAGCAAUCUGCCCCUGACUCUGGGAUAAGCGCUGGAAACGGCGUCUAAUACUGGAUACGAGCUGCGAAGGCAUCUUCAGCAGCUGGAAAGAACUUCGGUCAGGGAUGAGCUCGCGGCCUAUCAGCUUGUUGGUGAGGUAACGGCUCACCAAGGCGUCGACGGGUAGCCGGCCUGAGAGGGUGACCGGCCACACUGGGACUGAGACACGGCCCAGACUCCUACGGGAGGCAGCAGUGGGGAAUAUUGCACAAUGGGCGAAAGCCUGAUGCAGCAACGCCGCGUGAGGGACGACGGCCUUCGGGUUGUAAACCUCUUUUAGCAGGGAAGAAGCGAAAGUGACGGUACCUGCAGAAAAAGCGCCGGCUAAUUACGUG
rnacentral:rRNA from 1 species